UACAGAGGGGGCAAGCGUUGUUCGGAAUUACUGGGCGUAAAGGGCGCGUAGGCGGCCUGUUAAGUCAGACGUGAAAUCCCUCGGCUCAACCGGGGAACUGCGUCUGAUACUGGCGGGCUUGAAUUCGGGAGAGGGAUGUGGAAUUCCAGGUGUAGCGGUGAAAUGCGUAGAUAUCUGGAGGAACACCGGUGGCGAAGGCGGCAUCCUGGACCGACAUUGACGCUGAGGGGCGAAAGCCAGGGGAGCAAACGGG
rnacentral:rRNA from 1 species